rnacentral:rRNA from 1 species
GAUGAACGCUGGCGGCGUGCCUAAUACAUGCAAGUCGAGCGAACAGACGAGGAGCUUGCUCCUCUGACGUUAGCGGCGGACGGGUGAGUAACACGUGGAUAACCUACCUAUCAGACUGGGAACACUUCGGGACUCCGGCUCUUAUACCGGAUAAUCUCUUGCUCCGCAUGGUUCAAUGGUGAAAGUCGGUUUUGCUGUAACUUCUCGCUGGUUCUGCGCCGCAUUAGCUAGUUGGUAAGGUAACGGCUUAUCACGGCAACGAUGCGUAAGCGACCUGAGAGGGGGGUCGGCCACACUGGAACGGAGACGCGGUCCAGACGACUGCGGGAGGCAGCAGAAGGGAAUCGGCCGCAGUAGUCGAAAGCUUGACGCAGCAACGCCGCGUGAGUGAUGAAGGUGUUCGGAGCGGAAAACUCUGUUAUGAGUGAAGAACAAAUUUGUAAGUAACUAUGCACGUCUUGACGGUACCUAAUCAGAAAGCCACGGCUAACUACGUG